UACAGAGGGUGCGAGCGUUAAUCGGAUUUACUGGGCGUAAAGGGUGCGUAGGCGGUUUGCACAGUCAGAUGUGAAAUUCCCGGGCUUAACCUGGGGGCUGCAUUUGAUACGUGUGGGCUUGAGUGAGGAAGAGGGUUGUGGAAUUCCCAGUGUAGAGGUGAAAUGCGCAGAUAUCAGGAAGAACACCAACGGCGAAGGCAGCUCGCUGGGACGGUACUGACGCUGAGACGCGAAAGCGUGGGGAGCGAACAGG
rnacentral:rRNA from 1 species